GCAGUUCGGAAGGACCCGAGUCCCUUAACUAACCGAGAGCUAACAGAGUACGAGUACAUCUGGUUGAAAGAGAAAAGGCAGAGAGAAAAGCAGACUUUUUGGAGUUGUUGUUCUCAGGCACUAACAGAUUCAUCCCUUAUAUGCAUAUGAAUGGACAAUAAGAUUUCUUGGAUAUUUUCAUGGCAAAGGGUAAGAGUGAAGCUAUCCUGGACAAGAACUUUGACAGGACAAUACUAUUCACUCUGAAGGACCAAAAAAUGAGCAGAAAAUUUGGGAUAAAUGUCAACAAGAUUUGAACCCUAAAGAAAAGCAAGCAUCGAGUUAGACAGACGUCCAUAUUCAUUCAACUGGGAAAAUAAAACUGCAGUCCCAACAUCAGAAUUUC
rnacentral:lncRNA from 1 species